rnacentral:lncRNA from 1 species
UGAAAAGCAAGUAGAGGACGGCAGCGAUGGUCAGCCUGGUCUUCACCUUCCUCUGCUUCAGCAACUCGCGUCGCUUGCUGCAGUUGUCACAGGGGUCCAUUUUCAAACUCAGCUGACUGUUGGUUAAAGGUGCCGCGGGAAGGUCCCCCCGGAGCUGGGUGUCACUGCUCUGAAUUCCCUCCACUGGAGAUGGGUCUCGGGAAUCUCAGGUCUCUUGCACUGUGAGGAGACAGCUACCACAUCAUGCUAAACUUAUCCAGCACCGUGGGAAGGUCUGUGAGAAGGAGCUUAGCCCACCAACUGCCAUGACAGGGAAGACUGAGGCAGGAGGAUUGCCAUAAGUUUGAGGACAUCCUACCUGAACUAUGAGUUGGGACCCUGUCUCAAAAAGAUCUUCAUUGUGUGCACAGAAACACAGCCAGAGGCUGGCUGGCUUCCUUUGGAACCUCUGCUCUUUAGCCACCAGCUGUCUGUCUUCUGAUGGGAAUCCUGCCUCUAGUGACCUCCUUACCUCAGGUCUUGAGAAAUUGAAGACCACAAACAAGAACAAGCUACUGGCACAUUCACCAUUUGGUAAGGAUCCUCUUUCUGGUUAUGGGUAACCGUCUUUUCAUGUCCUCACAGGGAGCAGAGACCAGGGAACCCUUAGGGAUCAUUCCUGUCACUAAUUUCCUGAGGUCUCCAUCUCCAUGGAAUCCAAUUAUUUCUCAAAGGCUCCACUUGCCUUAGAGUUUAGGAUCUCUGUCCCAAGGUGUUAUAAAGGAGAAAUCUGAACUAAUCAGUCCCCUCUCUUUAAUAUGUCUCACUUUAACAUCCCCCCAAUAUUACCAGAAAUCUGAGCCAUUUGCAGCUGAAUCAACAAAGAAACGAGGAUCAACAGUUCCCAGUUCUGGAGGCUGAUGGUCUCUGAUUAAUCGCAUAGCCCAUUUAGUCCAGCUUCUGUGGCUCAUGGUGUCAAAACAGGUCACAUCAAGGCAGAAGCCAGAGGGAUUCAGCUAUGAGGCCUGCUGUUUUGCUUUGUUUUGUUUUACUUUCUUUAAUAUAAUAAACAAAACUGGCUCUCUCAAGGAUGGAAUGAUAAAUACAGUAAUCUGAUUAUCUUGCAGUAGAUAAUUUGUCUACCUGUUAAUGAUUCUGCUUCUUGGACUACGUCCCAGUAGAUGCCAUGCUUUCAGCCUGGUGAAUGUCAAAAUGGCUGAACACUGUUGAAAAGAUGCCUCAUCACUGAGUCAUCUUUGCAAGUACCUUGUGGAAGAGCAAGUGACCACAAAUGUGAACGUGGAGACACUGGCUGUGAAGAUACACAUUUAUUUCUCUGCCUACAAGAAAGAAUAGAAAUAAAGAAACCAAAGUGAACGUGGGCUUUCUGAAGAAUAAUUUUCUUUCAUGCAGUCUGCAGAUACUGAAGUCUGCUGUCUCCUCCCCCGCCACCUCCCCCUUGCCAGUAACUGCAGCUGCUGAGAUACAGUUGAGUUUGUGGUACAACCAGUUUCCUCACCUUUACACACUGAACUGUCAGUCUUUUCUCCUCCGGAGUGUACUUGUCUUGGGCAACUGUCAAUUAACAUCCCUCCCUGGCUCCCUUACUGCUCCAGGCUCUUCCUUCAUUGCUCUGUGCAGGCCUCACAGAGCCCAACCCCAGCCAAGUUAGACUUCAGUCAGAGAAUCAGAAACAAAACCAGUGUCUGCCAGGAGACACUCUCUCUGCCUGGGAAUUCCUCCCCAUUGGGAGAAGUCUAUGUCAUCUCCCUCCACCUACGGUGGGAAAGUGUUGAGUUUGUUAGGCUGAGUGAGGGAUUAUGGCCAGGAACAUUGGUCACCUUAGAGCAUCCACACUGGAGGGUAUGUUCUCAGCAGAGGUGAUGACUGCCUGAUAGCUGUGUAUUAUGGAGUUCUCUCCCUUGACCCUCCCCAUCUAUAUGCUCUGUCCCAACCCCACAGAUUCAUGUGUUUGAACACCUGGUCCCCAGCUGGUAGCACUGUUUUGGGAAAUUACUUAAUCUGUGGGAGGUGAGGCAUGCCUGAUAGGGUACAUUGUUAGAGGUGGGUCUUUGAGGGUUAGGAUCUGGCCUUACUUUCUCUUCUGUUUUCUGCUUUCUUCUACAUCAUCACAGACUUCUAAUGCUUCAGAGCCAUCCUGCCAUGUCUGCCCCACCCUGAUGGACUAAAAUUUCUGAAACCAGGAGUCAAAUUAAACUUUUUUUCCCCUCUUCU